ACCAUGUUUCACCUCUCUGGACGGGGAGCACCACACACUCACCAAAAUGCAAGCUCACCUUGCCUGGGAGAUCUUCGGGAUGACAUCACUCACCUUCAGGAUGACAUCAUGCUGACCUCACCGCCGCCGGGGCUUCUGAGGUCCUUUUGGUCAAAGAUAAUGUGGGUGGCAAAAUAGAUGCCAAUGGCGCUAAAGAUGGCAGACGAGGCGAUGUACGUGGUGACGGACUCUGUGAACUGGACGAUCAUGCCCAUGAAGAGGGUAGGGAAGACCUGAGAGAGAAGGAAGGUGCUGUCCAGAAUGGCAAAGUCAAGUCCUACCCCACGUUUCCCAAAAUCCUCUGACUCCAGACCAAGGGCGGCACCGUUCUGAUGCAGAGUGGCAGGUAAGCGUGUAAGGCAGUGUCUGCAGCGUUGCAUAGGCAAAGCCAGUGAGGGCCGACAUAGCCGUGACCAACAGGACGCUCUUGGACAAGCAGAUGACCAGAGCGGAGAUGGUGAAACACACCAUGCUGCUCAAAUAGACCACCCUGGACCCAAAGAGAUGCACCAGCCUGCUCAUGACCAGCGAGAAGAAGGUUGAGGUAGCGCACUGCAGGAACAGACCCAGGCUGCCCAUACGGAUACCUGGAGGGGGGAUGGUAGAGAAUUUCAGAGAAACAGCUCAAGCACAAGGCUGACAGAGGCCACAUGUGGAGGUGAAUACAAGUUCAUGGCAUAGAGACAGACAAUCUGGCCAGAGGACGGAAAUGAGAGACCACCAACAGCAGGAAAACAAGUUUAUGGACAGUUUUAAAAAAAACCUGCCUUUUGACCGCAGACAGGGAAAUGAAGUGAAGGUAAUGUUUAUUAUUAUGCUUAACUCCAUGAAACAAACACUGAUAUCCUUUAUAUUCAUUCUUGCUAUCUAAUCAGAGCCUCCAGACAAAACUGAAAAUCUAUGUACAAAUAUUAACCAAUAAAAUGUCCCUUAACAUUAACAAAACAUUAGGAACGCCUCUGAGUGGGAAUGCAUUAAGCAUGAGUCAGAGAGCGUCUGUGAAAUAAAUAAUAUCAUUAAUCUCUUGGGAAAUCAAACAUUUCAUGACCUGCUUGAAAUGCAACAUUAUGAUAAAACCGUUCUGGAUUCAGAUUGCUCAGUACAUUGGAAAAGUUCUACUAAGGAACUUACUGCCCUAUUACUAAACACCUAGCUGCAACUGCUCCCCAUUGACUUUAAUUGUAUGGACAAAAAAGCUGAAAAAUUCAUCAAAACAUCCUUUUUUGUUUUCCACAAAAG